GCCUCCGGAAGGUUAGUGGUUAGAGUUCUAGUCUGGUAGACCGGAGGUGGUGGGUUCGAUUCCCACCUGAGGCA
rfam:Lucilia cuprina strain LS Scaffold516, whole genome shotgun sequence.